CCAGGAUGUUCACUUAAACACACACCUAAGUACAGACAGGAAAGAUGGACUGAGAAGGGGUUUUGCAAAAGUUGUCAUAAAACAAAACAUGCCAGGAACCUAAGCCAAGAAAACAGACUAUUUGCUGUGUCACUGUCACUUGGACUGAAACUCAGUGGACAACUCUUGCCAGGUCUAGGAGGUACAAACUAAGAUGAAUUGGCUUUAAUAAUUAAAGGAAAUAACUGUGCUGGCCCGG
rnacentral:lncRNA from 1 species